GAUGAACGCUGGCGGCGUGCCUAAUACAUGCAAGUCGAGCGAACGGACGAGAAGCUUGCUUCUCUGAUGUUAGCGGCGGACGGGUGAGUAACACGUGGAUAACCUACCUAUAAGGCUGGGAUAACUUCGGGAAACCGGAGCUAAUACCGGAUAAUAUUUUGAACCGCAUGGUUCAAAAGUGAAAGACGGUCUUGCUGUCACUUAUAGAUGGAUCCGCGCUACAUUAGCUAGUUGGUAAGGUAACGGCUUACCAAGGCAACGAUGCAUAGCCGACCUGAGAGGGUGAUCGGCCACACUGGAACUGAGACACGGUCCAGACUCCUACGGGAGGCAGCAGUAGGGAAUCUUCCGCAAUGGGCGAAAGCCUGACGGAGCAACGCCGCGUGAGUGAUGAAGGUCUUCGGAUCGUAAAACUCUGUUAUUAGGGAAGAACAUAUGUGUAAGUAACUGUGCACAUCUUGACGGUACCUAAUCAGAAAGCCACGGCUAACUACGUG
rnacentral:rRNA from 1 species